rnacentral:lncRNA from 1 species
GCUAUUUUGGAAAUAUCUACCAUUAUAUUUGGUAAUGCAGGAACUAAGGUAAGACAAAGCGUCAUAAAGUACUCAGUUUAUUUUAUGAUGACAGUGAAGUAAGGCUUUAUAGCUCAUGGUAAAGAGUACAAUGUUAACCAUCUCUUCCUUCCCAGGGCCUUGAAUUUCCUUUAUCUUUCCCCUAGUAUCUACCUUUUAGUUUCUUUUUGCUUUCAUCACCAGGAUCUUAGUAUUUCAAGAGAAAAGGUUUAAAUGUAUGUCAACAAAUAUUCUCUCAGACGUUUUACUUAGAAACAUCUGAAUGGUUCAGAAGGGAUGGCACAGCCUUUAAAUAAGGUUAUAUUACUACCGCCAUUUAGCUUUAAAGGAGUAAAUGC